rnacentral:other from 1 species
UAAACGCUGCGUUGUACGUUAUCGUAUGAAGUUUCAACCUUUAUCGUUAAUUAGGGAGUUCUAUAUUAAAGAAGGAUCAGCAUGCCUUUAUGACAUGUUCCUAAAGGACAUAUGAAGAAAUCUUUUGCGAACACCCACCUGGUGGAGCAGGUUUUGAAACUCCAUACACCUAAGCGGCAAAUGCGGCAAAAAA